GGAUGGGCCCGCGGCCUGUUAGCUAGUUGGUGGGGUAGUGGCCUACCAAGGCAAUGAUGGGUAGCCGGUUGAGAGACCGACCGGCCAGAUUGGGACUGAGACACGGCCCAGACUCCUACGGGAGGCAGCAGUGGGGAAUCUUGCACAAUGGGCGAAAAGCCUGAUGCAGCGACGCCGCGUGCGGGAUGAAGGCCUUCGGGUUGUAAACCGCUUUCAGCAGAGACGAGGCCGCAAGGUGACGGUACCUGCAGAAGAAGCCCCGGGCUAACUACGUGCCAGCAGCCGCGGUAAAU
rnacentral:rRNA from 1 species